CGGGAAGCGAGUUGCGGGCUGGAGCGGUAAGCAACCUUGCUGAGCGUCAGAAGAGUGACAUAAUAAAGCCAAUCUGCAAGGACUGGAAAGUGAAUUACAACAGGAGAAAAUCAGACUUCUAUGCAGUGGAUGCUUGAUGCAUUUUUAGAAGCCUAAGAAGAACAUAGAAUGGUGCUGGAUAAAGCUCGGGAGGAGGCAGAUGUGCUUCAUGUAGACACGCCUGACAAGCCGGGACCAAGCUCAGGAGAAAAGGGAACAAGAGAAUGAAACAACAGGCCACUCUGCUGGCCGCUGCCUUACAUAGGGAAGAGCCGGAUCAAGUGGAGGACCCUACAAGGGAGUUGGCAAAAGGUCUGGUCCUUCUCUACAGCAGUUGUUACAGACAGUCCUGAAGUAGCUGGAAUAUAGCCAGCAAGGGCCCAGGUGGAGCAACAAUUCGUCUUGAAUCUUUGAAUGGAAUAUGAAGAGAGACGAUUGAGAUGAUGCCUAAGAAUAAGGACACAUGUUGCUGAACUGUGCCCACUUCUCUGGUGGCUGCAGCUGUGACUACGGCUGCUGGAGCGGGACCUGUGGCAGUGGCAUUUCUCCCGGGAUUUGGGUGGAGUUUUCCUUUUCUGUUCCCAUGACAUGGAGCAAGACCUAUGUGUGCGAUGCUCUCUGGACCUGGAUCUACAAAAGAUAUUUAGUUUUUAGCUUUGUUGACACUGUUUCUCAUUUACUAAAGCCUCCUCUUUAAAGAGAAACUAUCCCUCAGUAGCCUUACUUAAUGCCAAUACUAUUUCAAAUCAGCUAAAUCUACACUAAAAUAAAUUGCUGGUAUAUUAAUAACUACAUACUAGAAUUUCAAAAUAAAAAUUUAACAUUAAAAAAAUCAGACUACCAGUGUU